rnacentral:rRNA from 1 species
AUUGAACGCUGGCGGCAGGCCUAACACAUGCAAGUCGAACGGUAACAGGAAGCAGCUUGCUGCUUCGCUGACGAGUGGCGGACGGGUGAGUAAUGUCUGGGAAGCUGCCUGAUGGAGGGGGAUAACUACUGGAAACGGUAGCUAAUACCGCAUAAUGUCGCAAGACCAAAGAGGGGGACCUUCGGGCCUCUUGCCAUCGGAUGUGCCCAGAUGGGAUUAGCUUGUUGGUGGGGUAACGGCUCACCAAGGCGACGAUCCCUAGCUGGUCUGAGAGGAUGACCAGCCACACUGGAACUGAGACGCGGUCCAGACUCCUACGGGAGGCAGCAGUGGGGAAUAUUGCACAAUGGGCGCAAGCCUGAUGCAGCCAUGCCGCGUGUAUGAAGAAGGCCUUCGGGUUGUAAAGUACUUUCAGCGGGGAGGAAGGGAGUAAAGUUAAUACCUUUGCUCAUUGACGUUACCCGCAGAAGAAGCACCGGCUAACUCCGU